UCCCUGAAACUCUACUGCCCAAUCUUCUGAAACCUAACUCCCCAUCCUUCAAACCCCCAACUCAAUUUCAGAAAUAUUCUCUCUUUCUCUUCUGAUUUCUUAGUAAAACAGCUCUUAUCUUCUCUAAUUGAAAUCGAAGACCUAAAGGAGAGAAAUUAGGGCCUUUUGAUUUCUUUCUGGUUUAUAAGGAUUUGAAGACAAAGGAGGAGCUGCAGGCUAAGGAGGCCGAACUGAAUAAAAUUGAACGGAUGCCCAUCUUUCAACUAGUCGUGGAGUAUCUUAUGUGCAACUAAGAAAUAAUCUUCCAUCACCAACAAAAUCAGUUCACCUUUUGCAUUAGCAGAAAAGUAGUUCUAACAAGGUGGAAGCUGAAUUCAAGAACCUCUUGGAAGGAUUGCACAAAUUUGUGAUGGCAGGUCUAUCAAAGUCAGACAGAGGAGAUGAGCCAGACACUUUAAAUUUUCGGAGUUAAUUUGUGGCCACCAUUUCAGAGGAGGGUAUGCCAAUGAUAUUCUCUGUGAGCAACAACAUAAAAGGGAGAGAGGUUGGAGCUCACAAAAGCUGCAGUAGUUGACGCUCGCAAAAUGGUCUCGACGAGAACCAUUACCGACAAAGUAUGCAGGGAAGGCCUCUCUAAGAGUUGCAAGCAAGUUGAAUUUCUGUAUUUUCCCCUUUCAGCGGGAUCCAAUGUUCAUCCAGGAGUGUUCUUGUGACAACUAAAAACAUAGAAUUCUUAACUACCUCAACAUACAUACAUCUGUAGAAUCCAACAUCGGAGUUUAAAAGGAAAGAACCGUUCUUGAACUACUUGUGAUCACCCAUUUUUUGGGUAUGUGUUUUUGUACAAGAAUCUAUAUGCAAUUUGUUGUAAUUCUUGAAAAUACCUUGCUGAACAAUUAGCUUUUUAACUAGAAAGGGUCAGUUGGCAACAUUGGAGAAGGCAAGGAUACAGCAGAACUUGGGUUUUAUUUUCGAAAUUGGUGAGUGUCAAUAGUUUCAAAUUUUAACUGGAAUGAUGUGUUGUUGAAUUUGUAAAAGAGUUCGGUUUAUAUUACUGUCAAU